GCCCCGUUAGCUCAACUGGAUAGAGUACCGGUCUUCGGAACCGGUGGUUCGGGUUCGAAUCCCGCACGGGGCA
rnacentral:tRNA from 1 species